AUGGGAGUGUGGGGGUUAAUGGGGCGUGGGGGCCACGGUGGGGGCACUGCUGCCUCGGCUCUUCAGUACAUUCAUCACGGCGGCGGGACCCCAGCCUCGCCCCCGCGCCCUGCGCAGCCAGGCCCGCCCCUCGGUGCCGAUGCUGGAGGGAGCCGGGGGUGCUGCUCCCGGAGGUCACCGCGGGACGCGCGUGGAUGGGGGCUGGGCCGGUUAUUGCGUGAGCGCGAUGGGGGCAGCGGGAAGCUGGCGGGCCAAGUAUUGCACUUAAAAAACAAUCCUCAUCGGACGGCGGGCCACCUGGAGGGCGGGGGGCGGGCGGGGCUCCAGUCCAGAGCCGGCUCCUCUCGGCCACUGGGCCGCCCCGUCCCUAUUUUACAGCUGGGGGAACUGAGGCACCGAGGUGAAGGGAGCCCCCUCGCACGUGAGGCCGCCGCCGGGGGCAGGGGCGAUGGGGGUGGGCGCAGGGCGAGGAGGGGGCACGGCCAGGGGCACGGAGGGGGCUGCCCCACCGGUCCGGCCCGUCCGUCCGACUACGGCUACCUACGUCUUGUCUAUGGCUUCUGGGCGGGCAGGCGGCCGGGGCAGCGCAAUGGCAUGGCUUUGGUCUGGAUGACGGCCCCGCCCCCGGCCCACCUGGGCCCGCGGGGCGGUUGGCGAGGGUCACAAGUUGGACGAGAGGCGCGAGCGCGCGGAGUCCUGGGGGUCCAGGCCGCCGGCGGCGCCAGGCGAGGCCGAGUCCCUGCGGUCCGGGCUGGGCGCGGCGGCCCGGGCAGCAGGCGUCGGCCCCAGGCGCGGCGUGGAGCUGCUGGCCGGGCGCGGGGAGGCCGCGGGGCCGGGCGCGCCAUGGGGCAGCGAGGGCUGCGAGGCGGACAGUGGGCGCGACGCGCGGCUCAGGCGGCGCGCUGGCAGGGCGGGCCCAGCGAGGGGGGCGGCGGGCGAGCCACCGUAGGGCGAGGUCCGCGGUGCCCGGGGACUGGCGGGCACGCCCGGGGGACUGGCAGGGGGCGGGGGCCCCGGUGA
rnacentral:lncRNA from 1 species